rnacentral:lncRNA from 1 species
AGGCAUUUGCAGAGGAAUCUUCUGCUCAGAUUACUUACAUUUUUGCUGGUGCACUAGCUAUCACGCAUGCAAGAUAAUUUAGGCUCGAGUACAUAUAUUUUUGCCCGAGCAGAGAAAUCUUUUGCUCUGAGUACAUACAUUGUUGCUGGUGCACUAGCUAUCACGCAUGCAAGAUAAAUUAGGCUCGAGCAAAUCUGGCUCGACCCAGUGACCC